rnacentral:sRNA from 1 species
GCCAGGCAUGGUGGCACACACCUGUAAUCCCAGUGGCUUGGGAGGCUGAGACAGGAGAAUCGCAAAUUCAAAGCCAGCCUCAGGAAAAGUGAGGUGCUAAGCAGUGAGAUUCUGUCUCUA